rnacentral:miRNA from 9 species
CGGCUCCUCAUAAGGCAGUCUUU